rnacentral:rRNA from 1 species
GCCAGACUCCUACGGGAGGCAGCAGUGGGGGAUAUUGCACAAUGGGGGGAACCCUGAUGCAGCGACGCCGCGUGGGUGAAGGAGCGUUUCGGCGCGUAAAGCCCUAUCGGCAGGGAAGAAGGAGGACGGUACCUGACUAAGAAGCCCCGGCUAACUACGUGCCAGCAGCCGCGGUAAUACGUAGGGGGCAAGCGUUAUCCGGAUUUACUGGGUGUAAAGGGAGCGUAGACGGCGGCGCAAGUCCGGAGUGAAAGCCCACGGCGCAACCGUGGGACUGAUCUGGAAACUGUGCGUCUUGAGUGCGGGAGGGGCAGGCGGAAUUCCUAGUGUAGCGGUGAAAUGCGUAGAUAUUAGGAGGAACACCGGCGGCG